rnacentral:rRNA from 1 species
AACGAACGCUGGCGGCGUGCCUAACACAUGCAAGUCGAACGAGAAAGGGGCUUCGGCUCCGAGUAAAGUGGCGCACGGGUGAGUAGCACGUGGGUAACCUGCCUCUAAGAUUGGGAUAACUCGUCGAAAGAUGAGCUAAUACCGAAUAAGACCACAGUUCCCGCGGGAACAGGGGUCAAAGGUAGCCUCUGCUUGCAAGCUAUCACUUAGAGAUGGGCCUGCGCACCAUUAGCUAGUUGGUAGGGUAACGGCCUACCAAGGCAAAGAUGGUUAGCUGGUCUGAGAGGAUGAUCAGCCACACUGGAACUGAGACACGGUCCAGACUCCUACGGGAGGCAGCAGUGGGGAAUAUUGCGCAAGGGGCGAAAGCUUGACGCAGCAACGCCGCGUGAGUGAUGAAGGCCUUCGGGUCGUAAAGCUCUGUCGGGAGGAACGAAUGCUCCUGAGGUUAACAGCCUCGGGAGGUGGCGGUACCUUCAAAGGAAGCACCGGCUAACUCUGUG